GGCCCCGAUGUUGCAAAGGGAUCCGAUCGCCUGGAACCCUUCUGCUGUGUGGAGUCCCACUGAUGCUCUGACUGGAUCGCUUUGUCCUUUGCAGCCUCCCAUGGCUACAGCCCUCGAAUUUUAAACUUCAGUUUGGUAGAAACAACCUUCUGGUUGGGUGGUGCCACUUGCUGGCCAGGUGGGUGCAUUGCAUUUGACCGGCAGCAAGGUUAACCUUGUCUCUCCAUUACACUCAGUAAAAAAUAGCAUUUUCAGUAUGAAAACCCCCGAUUCCCAAUGCGGAGGUGCAAACCUGGGCUGGAAGAACGCCCCGCAGCUGUAAAAGCACUGUGGCUUUUUCUGCUUUGAAUACUUACAGCCCCAGGGGCAAAACAGUCACCCGCUCUUCCAGGAACAUAGUAGAACUUAUCUUACCCUGAAGGUCUUUGAUGCCUAUUUCUCCUUUCUCACUCCUCCUGCUGGGUUGCUGCCUAGUGACAACGUAUCACAAACUCCUAAUUUACCAUAAAAUGUUUGCUGCUCCUCAGGGCAGUUCAGCUCCUAGCGUGGGUUGGGUGUAACAGGAAGGAAGCCCACCUUGUACUGGCUUUCCUGGGCGGACUGAAUUCUCACUUCCCCCUGGUUAGUUGCUGGUUUGCAUCCCUCGCCCUGCCAUCACUAAUUAAUGCCUCUGAUUAAAAUACCACCUUGCUAAUGGGAUCUGCCACAGCACGCUUGGAAACAGAAGAGAUGGUUUCUA